AUUGAACGCUGGCGGCAUGCUUUACACAUGCAAGUCGGACGAGUGGCGAACGGGUGAGUAACGCAUCGGAACGUACCGAGUAAUGGGGGAAAACUGUCAGACAGGACAGCUAAUACCGAAAAGUAUGCGAGCGGCCGAUGUCUGAUUAGCUGGUUGGAGGGGUAAAGGCCAACCAAGGCGACGAUCAGUAGCGGGUCUGAGAGGAUGAUCCGCCACACUGGGACUGAGACACGGCCCAGACUCCUACGGGAGGCAGCAGUGGGGAAUUUUGGACAAUGGGCGCAAGCCUGAUCCAGCCAUGCCGCGUGUCUGAAGAAGGCCUUCGGGUUGUAAAGGACUUUUGUCAGGGAAGCGGUACCUGACGAAUAAGCACCGGCUAACUACGUGCCAGCAGCCGCGGUAAUUC
rnacentral:rRNA from 1 species